rnacentral:misc_RNA from 1 species
UUUCCGUAGGUGAACCUGCGGAAGGAUCAUUAAUGAAGUCUGGGCUUCGGCCCUCUCUCUUCUACACACUUGUGAACUUACACCGUUGCUUUGGCAGGUUUCCGGAGGGGCGUGAGCCCUGAAGGUCAGGUCGGAAGACGCCUGCCGAAGACACUUAUCCACCCUUUUUUAUUGUCUGAAUCUUGUUUAUAACAAAUAAAAUAAAACUUUCAACAAUGGAUCUCUUGGCUCUGGCAUCGAUGAAGAACGCAGC